rnacentral:snRNA from 1 species
AUUGCUUCUCAGCCUUUUGGCUAAGAUCAAGUGUAGUAUUUGGACUUCUGUGCUUUUAGUUUGUUUCUUCAUUUGUGUAGUAGUUCUC